rnacentral:misc_RNA from 1 species
CGCACCUUGCGCUCUCUGGUAUUCCGGAGAGCAUGCCUGUUUCAGUGUCAUGAACUCUUCAACCCGCCCUUUUCUUUCGAGAAUAGGUGUCGGAGAUUGGAUCUUGAGCUUUGCUAUUAGUUUAGCUGGCUUGUAAAACAUUAGCAUCUUCGAAUUCGUAAUCGGAUUGACUUGGCGUAAUAGAUUAUUCGCUGAGGACACUUUAUUAAGUGGCCGAGAUAAGAUUGAGAGAAGCUUCUAACCUUUCUCUUCUUUAUGAAGCUGAAACCCUUUCAUAUUUAGACCUGAAAUCAGACAGGAUUACCCGCUGAACUUAA